UAUUAAUUUAGUGUUGGAUGCAGCCUACCGAAGAGGUAAGCAUUACGCAUGCAACGCAUGCACUUGGCCGCCCGUCGUUAUUACUGUGAAUAAAACAGCGUGUUCAAGGCAGCCUUCGGCUGAAUGACAAAGCAUGGAAUAACAGGGGAUCGACCGGUGGGUUAAUCUUUUGUUGGUUUUUAAGAUCCAUCUGGAUAAUUUGUGGGCAAAGUGAUUCAUGCAUCACCAUUGGCUUGCCUCUGGUUUGCACUGGACCUUUGCCGAACACGGGAUUAAUGGGGGUUGUCGGGGGAAAACGUAUCGGAGCGUGAGAGGUGAAAUUCUUAGACCGCUCUGGGACGAACUUAUGCGAAGGCAUUUUCCAAGUAUACCUUCAUCAAUCAAGAACUAAAGUGUGGAGAUCGAAGAUGAUUAGAUACCAUUGUAGUCCACUACUGCAAACGAUGACGCCCAUGGAUUGGAUAGCUUUUUAUUUCAUGGGAUCUCUUCGGCACUGCUCCCCCUUCAACGCGAAAGCUGAGGCUAUGGUCUCAUGGGGGAGUACGUUCGCAAGGCUGAAACUUAAAGAAAUUGACGGAAUGGCACCACCAGGCGUGGAGUGUGCGGUUUAAUUUGACUCAACACGGGGAACCUUACCAGGAUAGGAUAACGCA
rnacentral:rRNA from 1 species